rnacentral:misc_RNA from 1 species
GAUGAAGAACGUAGCAAAUGCGAUAAGUAGUGUGAAUUGCAGAAUUCAGUGAAUCAUCGAAUCUUUGAACGCACAUUGCGCCCCUUGGUAUUCCAUGGGGCAUGCCUGUUCGAGCGUCAUUUGUACCUUCAAGCUUUGCUUGGUGUUGGGUGUUUGUCCUGAGGGACUCGCCUUAAAGUAAUUGGCAGCCAGUGUUUUGGUUUUGAAGCGCAGCACAAGUCGCGAUUCAAGGCUAUACGCCAGCUUCCACAAGCCUUUUUCACUUUUGACCUCGGAUCAGGUAGGGAUACCCGCUGAACUUAAGCAUAUCAAUAAGCGGAGGA